UGCCUCGGUAGCUCAGCAGGUAGAGCACUUGCCUGUUAAGCAAGUUGUCACAGGUUCGAGUCCUGUCCGGGGCGA
rnacentral:tRNA from 1 species